rnacentral:rRNA from 1 species
AGUGAACGCUGGCGGUAGGCCUAACACAUGCAAGUCGAACGGCAGCACAGUAAGAGCUUGCUCUUACGGGUGGCGAGUGGCGGACGGGUGAGGAAUACAUCGGAAUCUACUUUUUCGUGGGGGAUAACGUAGGGAAACUUACGCUAAUACCGCAUACGACCUACGGGUGAAAGCAGGGGAUCUUCGGACCUUGCGCGAUUGAAUGAGCCGAUGUCGGAUUAGCUAGUUGGCGGGGUAAAGGCCCACCAAGGCGACGAUCCGUAGCUGGUCUGAGAGGAUGGUCAGCCACACUGGAACUGAGACACGGUCCAGACUCCUACGGGAGGCAGCAGUGGGGAAUAUUGGACAAUAGGCGCAAGCCUGAUCCAGCCAUACCGCGUGUGUGAAGAAGGCCUUCGGGUUGUAAAGCCCUUUUGUUGGUAAAGAAAAGCAGCAGGUUAAUACCCCGCUGUUCUGACGGUACCCAAAGAAGAAGCACCGGCUAACUUCGUG